GUUUGGUCACGUUGUUGGGCGGGGGACAAUUAUUAUGUGACGGAAUUAAGGAAGCAGCAUGAGACAACACGUGUUUGAUGUGGAAGACGUAAAUGGAGUCUCGGAUUGAAAAUAAACUUUAUUCCCUUGGAGUUUAUGAGGCCAUUGAGAGAAGCAGCUGGAAGGAUGUGCCAUACUUUCCGGGCUAUAGAGCGCAACCGUACUCAAGCCGCACCCACCAAAUUUUAGAAGAGAGCAUGGCAGUUAAACAACAGAAAUCAUCGUCAUGGACCCACUAGCUGCGGAAGCUAGCUCUCCAAUCAGCUAAACAGACUCAAUAACUUCAAGGUUCAGCAUCUUUGGAUCUGUGACAGGCAGAGACGGACGUCAAUCUUCGGCGUCAAAAGUUCAGGACGUAAUGGAAAUAAUUUGACGAGGCCCGCAGCGUGACAAUGAAUGAGCUUGGAGGGUCCGACUUCUGGCUUACCGCCAGCCAGAACAGAAUAAUCUGGGCAAAAUGAACCAUGCAGAGACUGACCCUAUCCAAAGAGCUCUUCAUACCCAUGUUAAACUUCUGGUCAGGCAGGAAGUACAAACUGACUCUUUCAACUCCAGUUUAGAGGAGGCAGCGGGCAUCAAGAACUGAUCAAAACUCAGCUCCACAGUCUUCUUUCCUCACUACAAGAUGGCGCCUUGUCCUCCAUACCUGCUAGGCUCAUCGCCGAGAUUUCACCCAACCUCAUUCCUCCUGUGACUCAUGACGUCAACAUUCCAGCCCUCCGCCCACAGCUCUCAAGGCCUGAGCGGAUCUCCGAGGACUACAUUUUGAACUCCAAGGUAGAGCAUUUCACUUUGAACGAGCCCAUUUGCAUUUGUGAUAUCGCAUCUUACCGGAGAGGCGGCAGCUUGGUCCUCAGCUAAGUGGACUCGCUGUUCCACCCUCUGCUCCUCUGAUACCACGUUUUCUGAGGCCAUGAAAAAUAUAUUUCGGCAAAAAUAACCCUGCCCGGGGAGCCACGCGCUCUUUGCUUAAGGUACACCAGAGGGGUCAUAGGAUUUCGGACUAUGCCAUUGAGUUCCGUAUUCUGGCUGUUGAAAGUGACUGCAUGGAAUGCUGCAGCAUUCUUGGAUGCUUUCUUUUGGGGUCUUGAUAAAGACAUUAAGAGUCACAUGAUCCAUUAGUCAUCUAACAAUUUGGUUCAACUCAUCGCACUCGCCGUUGGCAUAAAGAAACAACUCUAUGAUUCGGAUUAGGAUAGGGGCACGCCACCUGGAUAUGUUACCUCCAACGCCAGUCUGAAUUUUACACCGAUGCCUGCACCAUUGAAGACGCAGGAGGUUCCUAUGCCGCUUUGGGGACAUUGUCUCUCAUCAGGAUAUCUUCAGCGUAAGAAGCUCCGCCUCUACUGCAGCAAUCGCAGCCAUCACAUCUCCAAGUGUCCUACCCGUCCAAACCAGCAUUCCCUUUUGACGCCUUAGGUCUUACAGACCUGGUUCCAGCAAGGUCAAGCCCAACACUCUUUCCUUAAUCCACAGUCCUCCCUUUGAUGACUCUACUUCAGAACACAUCAUACCUGUGGUCCGUUGGGGUUCUCCAAGUGGGAGGUGGAGAGAAGGGUGUUGGACUCUGCAGAGGGUAUACAAGUUCCGAAGGGGUGCUCUGCCCGCAAGCUAUUCGUUUCCGAGUUGCUGCAGUGGGGCGACAUGCCCAAGGUUGCUUGCCAGCCUGAAAUCAGCCGCAUCCAAUUUGUCAUUGUCUAAAGGUACUGGUGGCCUGCUAUGACUGCUGAUAUCAGGGAGUUUGUCACUGCUUGCGCCUUCUGUGCCCAAAGAAAAUAAUCUCAUUGCUCUUCUGCUACGGCUGUUGCCCAUCCCACCUCAGCCAUGGUCUCAUAUUACCCUUGACUUCAUCAAAGGUCUUCAUCCAUCCCGGGACAAUACCGUGGUCCUAACAGUUGUGGACAGGUUUUCUAAGAUGGCCGAUGUCAUCGCUCUGCCAAAACUUCCAACAUCCCUCGAGACAGCCCAACUGUCAGUCAGAUACGUGUUUUGUAUUCACUGCAUACCCUUGGACUUGGUAUCUGACAGACGCCCGCAGUUUGUCUCCCGAGUCUGGGGGGCAUUCUGCAAGGCGCUUGGGGCAUCCCUCAGACUGGCCAGACAGAGCAAAUCAACCAGGACUUGGAGGCUAUGCUACACUGCGUCUACCCUUCUUCAAUGGCCUCUCAUCUUCCCUGGAUUGAGUACGCCCACAACACCCUCGUCAGCUCGGCCACAGGAGGCAGAUGUGUUCGUCCCAUCUAUCCACCUGCGUUGGUCGCAUUGGGUUUGGCGAGAUACCCAUGCGGCUUUGUGUCGGACGGCUGAAGGUAACCGCUUGUUGGCAGACCGCCACAGGAUUCCUACCCUGGACUAUCGCCCCGGUCGGGCAGUAUGGCUGUCCUCACGGGACCUACGCCUUGAUGGUGUUUCCAGGAAGUUGAUGCCAAGAUUUGUGGGUCCUUACAAGAUCGACUCUGUAGUCAACCCGGUGGUUGUGAAGCUCCAAUUACCACCUUCGCUCCCCAUUAAUCCUGUGAUCCAUGUCUCAAGCCAGUUGUCACCAGCCGUCUAAACCCCUCAGUCAUGCCUUCUCUUCCGUGUCUGAUCAAUGGUCAGGAGGCUUACACCGUGAAGGCUAUUUUGACUCCAGAAAAAGAGGUAUGGGUGUGCUUUAAAGUUAUGCUACUCAACUGUUGGCAUGAAACUUAUGCGUGUUACCCUUGUACUAUAAUAAACCUAUCAGUGGUAAUAUUGCUGGUUGAGCUGUUUUCCCCACUGCUGCAACUUUGUUGCUGUUUUU